rnacentral:rRNA from 1 species
CCUACGGGUGGCAGCAGUAGGGAAUCUUCCACAAUGGGCGAAAGCCUGAUGGAGCAACGCCGCGUGGGUGAAGAAGGUCUUCGGAUCGUAAAACCCUGUUGUUAGAGAAGAAAGUGCGUGAGAGUAACUGUUCACGUUUCGACGGUAUCUAACCAGAAAGCCACGGCUAACUACGUUCCAGCAGCCGCGGUAAUCCGUAGGUGGCAAGCGUUAUCCGGAUUUAUUGGGCGUAAAGGGAACGCAGGCGGUCUUUUAAGUCUGAUUUGAAAGCCUUCGGCUUAACCGAAGUAGUGCAUUGGAAACUGGGAGACUUGAGUGCAGAAGAGGAGAGUGGAACUCCAUGUGUAGCGGUGAAAUGCGUAGAUAUAUGGAAGAACACCAGUGGCGAAAGCGGCUCUCUGGGCUGUAACUGACGCUGAGGUUCGAAAGCGUGGGUAGCAAACAGGAUUAGAUACCCCAGUAGUC